AUACGGAGGAUCCGAGCGUUAUCCGGAUUUAUUGGGUUUAAAGGGUGCGCAGGCGGGAGAUUAAGUCGGCGGUGAAAUUUUGCAGCUCAAAUGUAAAAGUGCCUUCGAAACUGGUUUCCUUGAGUGGAGAUGAAGUAGGCGGAAUUUGUGGUGUAGCGGUGAAAUGCAUAGAUAUCACGAGGAACUCCGAUUGCGCAGGCAGCUUACUAAACUACUACUGACGCUCAGGCACGAAGGCGUGGGGAUCAAACAGGAUUAGAUACCCUGGUAGUCCACGCAGUAAACGAUGAUUACUAGCUGUUUGCGAUACAAUGUAAGCGGCUGAGCGAAAGCGUUAAGUAAUCCACCCGGGGAGUACGUUCGCAAGAAUGAAACUCAAAUGAAUUGACGGGG
rnacentral:rRNA from 1 species